GACAGUUUGGCUGAGUGGUCUAAGGCGCCAUAUUUAGGAUUUGGUCCGAAACGGCAUGGGUUCAAAUCCCACAACUGUCA
rfam:Picea glauca, whole genome shotgun sequence.